GCAGUCGCCGCGGUAAUACAGAGGGUGCGAGCGUUAAUCGGAUUUACUGGGCGUAAAGCGUGCGUAGGCGGCUUCUUAAGUCGGAUGUGAAAUCCCUGAGCUUAACUUAGGAAUUGCAUUCGAUACUGGGAAGCUAGAGUAUGGGAGAGGAUGGUAGAAUUCCAGGUGUAGCGGUGAAAUGCGUAGAGAUCUGGAGGAAUACCGAUGGCGAAGGCAGCCAUCUGGCCUAAUACUGACGCUGAGGUACGAAAGCAUGGGGAGCAAACAGGAUUAGAUACCCGUGUAGUCCCUGUCUCUUAUAC
rnacentral:rRNA from 1 species